rnacentral:rRNA from 1 species
GACGAACGCUGGCGGCGUGCUUAACACAUGCAAGUCGAACGGAAAGGCCCAGCUUGUUGGGUGCUCGCGUGGCGAACGGGUGAGUAACACGUGGGUGAUCUGCCCCUAACUUCGGGUUAAGUAAGGGCAACUGGGUCUAAUAACGGCCAGGUCAUUCGUUUAGUGUCGGUGGUGGAAAGUUUGUUCGGUUAGGGCUGAGCCUGCGGCCUAUCAGCUUGUUGGUGGGGUAAUGGCCUACCAAGGCGGCGACGGGUAGCCGGCCUGAGAGGUUGGACGGCCACAUUGGUACUGAGAUACGGCCCAGACUCCUACGGGAGGCAGCAGUGGGGAAUAUUGCACAGUGGGCGCAAGCCUGAUGCAGCGACGCCGCGUGCGUGAUGACGGCCUUCGGGUUGUAAACCUCUUUCGACAGGGACGAAGCUUUGGUGACGGUACCUGUAGAAGAAGCCCCGGCUAACUACGUG